GUACUACUAGGACAUGUUAGGUGUGUAGAUUAAGAAAUUCUUGAGUUUACCACCUUGAUUAAAUGACAAUCUAGCUCUACAUGUUCUCUCUAUUAUGGUGAACAUAAUUGUUUAUGGUACUUAAUGCAGACAAGUUAUCACAUAAAACUUUCAUAGGUUGUAAUCUUUUCAAAGCCUGGUGGAUUGUUCAUGUACACCACUUCUUAUAGGACAGGGGUUGAAUGUGGACAGAAGAUUAGGACUACAGUGCUCAGUUACAUUUGGUCUGUUCGAUCUAGAUCCUAUUUUCCAGAUUUUAAGUUUGGAUUUUAUAUUUAUAAACGAUCUUGUUGAGUGUUGCACACAUAUCUUUAAACUUUAAUAUCUUUAAUUAUCUAUUAUAAAAAGUUAUAAAAAUUUGAUAUUUUGAAAAUAUUUAUUGAAAUAAAUCCAACAUCUUAC
rnacentral:lncRNA from 1 species